rnacentral:lncRNA from 1 species
CCCCAGCUCACAAGGAGGGAGGAGAUGGAGAGAGGCUGGUCAACACAAGGGUGGUGCAGGCGGCCCCUCUGGCGUGUGACUCUACUCCCUGUGGGGAUGCUGUGCAAGACAUCUCUAUUGAGGAUGCUGAAUAUGACAUCUGUAAUGAGGACACUGUACGAGACGUCUCUAAUGAGGAUGCUGUAGAAGACAUCUCUAAUGAUGACGCUGUAUACGACAUCGCUAAUGAGGACGCUGUAUAUGACAUCGCUAAUGAGGAUGCUGUACAAUACAUCUCUAAAAAAGAAGAUGCUGCCACUGUAAGAUACUUUUCUUUGUUUUGAACAGAAAUGUUACUUUCCUGGCUUCUUUUGAGUCAGAUGUACACAUGAACAUCUGCCAAUGUGCA